UACGUAGGGGGCAAGCGUUGUCCGGAUUUAUUGGGCGUAAAGAGCGUGUAGGCGGCCAGGUAGGUCUGCUGUGAAAACUCGAGGCUUAACCUCGAGCUGUCGGCGGAAACCAUUUGGCUAGAGUCCGGAAGAGGAGAAUGGAAUUCCCGGUGUAGCGGUGAAAUGCGCAGAUAUCGGGAAGAACACCCGUGGCGAAGGCGGUUCUCUGGGACGGUACUGACGCUGGAGACGCGAAAGCGUGGGGAGCGAACAGG
rnacentral:rRNA from 1 species